CGACGCUGAGAGAUCCAAAAGCCAAAACUCCCACGUUCUGCUAAUUCCCACGCGAUCUUUAGAACUGAAACGACGCUUUUUAAAUUGAACCGGUCUAAAUAACUUAACGCUGAGAGAUCCAAAAGCCAAAACUCCCGCGUUCAGCUAAUUCCACUUUCAACAUAAUUCUAACGAAAAAGGGUUCUCUCCAUAGCAGAAAACCAGUUGCAGUGGUGAAAGGAUUUCUGCCAUUUGGGGGUUUUUUGCCGUCAUCGUCAACGAUUCUUAAGAGCAAGCACAAGAGGAUAUGAAAUUUGUCUAGCAGAGUGUCUUGGAUACGAUUAUUGACUUCUUUGGAGUAGCUUUUGGGAAUGUGGGGGUGUUGGUGGUGGUGGGAUCUUCGUUCCCAUGUUUAUCCUUGUGAAAUCAUCAACAACAAUAUCAAGAUGUAAGAGAUAUGUUGUUAUUGUUUCCUCUUAAGCUUUCUUUAGUAGUGUCAUAGACCUGACUUGUUUGGAAGAAACUCUGCAAUUAUGUUAAACCCUUCCUGUAAAGGGAAAGAGUUGUAAAUUCUUCUACUUUAUAGAAUUAGGAGAAAAUUAAGUGGGAAGAAAAGAUUUUCCAACUCAAAUCCUUUCUUAAGAUAUGAUUGUAAUUCUCUGCUUUUCUAGAUAAGUUUUGGUUGACUAAUUUUUUAAUCUAUUACUGUAAGAGGAUAGCUUACUUUUUUAAGUAAUCCUGGUUCAUCUGAGAUUUUUUCUUUUUCUUUUUUUGAAUUUAUAUGAGGAUAAUUUACAUUUCAAUUUGUCCUAAUUCAAAUGAGACGGUAUUAAGAGGUUUCUUUAGGUAAUCUUCUAAUUUUGAGUCUUUGAGGAUGUAAUCGAGGCCUUUCCCUUGAGCUUCUUUCUUGUUCUUGGGUUCUUAAUUACAGCACCUCAAGAUACAUUGUUUCUGUAUUUCUUUCUAGUUCUUUGUAUUCACAUGCUUAUUUAACUUAUUUCUUCCUAAAGAUAUUUGAGAAUCCUACCAUUCUAAAAUUUCUUCAUAUGAGAAUUGUUCUUUUUUCUUCUCAUUCAGGUGGUUUAGUUUAAUUAUUGAACUUUUAUAUGUGUUCAUGUUUCAAAGAUAUAUUAGAAUUUUGGGUCUGACCAUUCUAUACUAUAGAUGGAUAGAGAUAUUUUUAUCAUGUUCUAUACAUAAUCAAGCAGGAUUAAGACAUAAUUUAUAGUUUUGGCUUUCUAUUGAUGACUAAUUGCUGGAUUAUAAUAAGAAAUGGUGGUCAAUGAAAUGCUUUGAACCAAAAGUAAGAAACAAAAUUGCACCUUAAUAGUUUGAUUUAUUUUCAGAUUUAAGAGGAAGAAAACAAAUGAUAUUGGUCAUGGAGUAUUUCUUUCUUGACUAUGAACAGCCUACUACUUUGUUUGUUGGCAUGUCUUAAUCUACAAUUUGAAACCAACUUUUAGGGAUCAUGUUUGAUAAAGAGUGCUUGUGAUUGAUGUUUGGAGUUUAGGAUUUGUUCUUUUAUUAGGGUUGAGAACCGGUUUAGGUUUCUUUUUUGACAUUUUCCUGUAGUUCAUAUAUGAUAUAUAAUAUAUCCAUUUACCCUAGUUUUUGUCCCAUCUUCCUUAUUAGAAUUAUUGCCUCAUUUAUUCACUCUUGAGUUGACUUGGGAGUGUAGAUUACAGUAAACUCUAGUUGGGUUGCAUUUACUCAAAAGCAAAUCAAGUGUUUGGGUCAUAUAGGACUAGCUAGGGGAGGUAGCAAUAGGUUAGAUCACAUUCAGUUUGGUCAUAUUGGAUCCAAUAGGAGAGAGGAGAUGAAAAAUUUGCUCUUUCUAUUAUUGCUCAUAGUACUUUCUAUCAUUUGGUUAUGAACCAUUUGGUUGGUCCAUAAGAAAACUUGCGGUAUGGUUGAAAAAACUGGGCCCCACUUUUGUCAAAGUUGCAAAAAAGUGACUUUUUGUAACCAUGCAACCCAUUUGGUGGUAUUCUAUAGCCUAUUGCUUUUAGUUUUUUGAAUCAUGCAAACCCAAAAGAGAGUAUCAUGCUUGCAUGAGUUUGGGUGUGGGCCAAGCAACUUGCCACCUGGGUAUUAUUAUAUAAUACAUGAAAAAAGCUUGUUAGUACCAUAAAGUAGGGGAGAUAAUUGCAAGACCAUGGGAUUUGUGGUCCUGGAAUCAGAACUUUGGAGGUUCCUGAUUCCAAUUGAUCAAUGCUUGCAUUAUGUUUUAAAUCAGAACUUUGGAGGUUCCUAAAAGCUGUAAUGGGGAAGCAAGAUUCACAUUCGAUUAUCUAUGUGGUCUCCUGGUAGUAUGUCUGCCCCUGUAUGAUAAAAAUAGUAUUAUAGUUAAUCUAACUCUUAUUUGAUCUUGAUCUAAUGAGUUAUUUAAACAUUGAUCUUAUAAUUCUAGUGCUAAUAGCAGUAUUUUUGCUGCUAGUGAAUGUUAAUCCUUUUUCAAA